rnacentral:lncRNA from 1 species
GGUGAUUGGUAUAUUUGCUCAGAUAAUUACAGAUCCUGUACAUAGCAACCUUCCAAUGUCCCACCUCGAUACACUUGUGUUGUCUUUUUUUUCCCCAACUAGACUUGAGUUCUGUGAGGGUAAAAGCUAUACCUUCCUACUUCUUUUGAAUUCCUUCACAGAAUGAGUCUUCCAAACACCCAGCUAGCUCUGGAAAUGUGUACAUCAACCUCAUUAGAUAUGUGGACAUCCCUGGAAAGUAUAUGCCAAGGUUCCCAGCUAUCUACUAAUUUUGGUACCCAAAAUGGAGACAAUUGCUUCCUUGUUCCAAACCUGAGUUGAAACCAAAAGUUCUUCCUGUUAUUUGUCAACACUGCCAUCUGCUGAUCAGAGGCAAUACUUCUAAAAACUUUGCUCCUACUCCCUGCCCAUGCCAAGUCAUCCUGACCACAGAGGCCAACAGGAGAACCCACUGCUGCUACAAGCUAUCCAACUUAUUGCUGGAUAAGACAACGUGGUCUGCACUUGAGGCUUUUGCUACUCGCGAAGCUGAGCUCUCUGAUUCUGAGCUAAGGAUAUGAGGUUGAGAAUAGUCCCAAUGCUCCAAAUAGUAGGUGAAAUUGCAGCCCUUAUUUUUCUAUAAAAUCCCUCUAAACUGAACUGCACAAAUCUCUUUGCCUAAAAAGUUUCUGAAACAAUUUCUACAAACAACAAAUUUUCUCUGCCCUCAUUUACAUCUUGUACCAUGAUGCUCCCUUAUCUAAAGAUCUUAUCUAAAUAAACUGGGUAUCCACACAAAUUUUUUAAAAUGU